rnacentral:rRNA from 1 species
GACGAACGCUGGCGGCGUGCUUAACACAUGCAAGUCGAACGGUAAGGCCCUUCGGGGUACGACGAGUGGCGAACGGGUGAGUAACACGUGGGUGAUCUGCCCUGCACUUCGGGAUAAGCCUGGGAAACUGGGUCUAAUACCGGAUAGGACUCCUGGCUUCAUGGUUGGGGGUGUAAAGCUUUUGCGGUGUGGGAUGGGCCCGCGGCCUAUCAGCUUGUUGGUGGGGUAAUGGCCUACCCAAGGCGACGACGGGUAGCCGGGCCUGAGAGGGUGACCGGGCCACACUGGGACUGAGAUACGGCCCAGACUCCUACGGGAGGCAGCAGUGGGGAAUAUUGCACAAUGGGCGCAAGCCUGAUGCAGCGACGCCGCGUGAGGGAUGACGGCCUUCGGGUUGGUAACCUACUUUC